AGAGUUUGAUCCUGGCUCAGAACGAACGUUGGCGGCGUGGAUUAGGCAUGCAAGUCGAACGAAUCCCAGUCGCGUAGCAAUACGGGGCUGGGGGAAGUGGCGAAAGGGGCAGUAAGGCAUGGCUAACCUACCUCGGGGACGGGUAUAGCCUCCCUAACGGGAGGGUAAUUCCCGGCGAUUCGGCGGCGGGGCCUCUCGCU
rnacentral:rRNA from 1 species